AGACCCCGUGAACCUUUACUAUAGCUUGACACUGAACAUUGAGCCUUGAUGUGUAGGAUAGGUGGGAGGCUUUGAAGUGUGGACGCCAGUCUGCGUGGAGCCGACCUUGAAAUACCACCCUUUAAUGUUUGAUGUUCUAACGUGGACCCGUGAUCCGGGUUGCGGACAGUGUCUGGUGGGUAGUUUGACUGGGGCGGUCUCCUCCUAAAGAGUAACGGAGGAGCACGAAGGUUGGCUAAUCCUGGUCGGACAUCAGGAGGUUAGUGCAAUGGCAUAAGCCAGCUUGACUGCGAGCGUGACGGCGCGAGCAGGUGCGAAAGCAGGUCAUAGUGAUCCGGUGGUUCUGAAUGGAAGGGCCAUCGCUCAACGGAUAAAAGGUACUCCGGGGAUAACAGGCUGAUACCGCCCAAGAGUUCAUAUCGACGGCGGUGUUUGGCACCUCGAUGUCGGCUCAUCACAUCCUGGGGCUGAAGUAGGUCCCAAGGGUAUGGCUGUUCGCCAUUUAAAGUGGUACGCGAGCUGGGUUUAGAACGUCGUGAGACAGUUCGGUCCCUAUCUGCCGUGGGCGCUGGAGAACUGAGGGGGGCUGCUCCUAGUACGAGAGGACCGGAGUGGACGCAUCACUGGUGUUCGGGUUGUCAUGCCAAUGGCACUGCCCGGUAGCUAAAUGCGGAAGAGAUAAGUGCUGAAAGCAUCUAAGCACGAAACUUGCCCCGAGAUGAGUUCUCCCUGAGACUUAAAGUCUCCUGAAGGAACGUUGAAGACGACGACGUUGAUAGGCCGGGUGUGUAAGCGCAGCGAUGCGUUGAGCUAACCGGUACUAAUGAACCGUGAGGCUUAACCUUACAACGCCGAAG
rnacentral:rRNA from 1 species